AUGUAAACAUUAACAAAGGCGCUGGAGCAAACCGUUUUUCACCUUAUGCAGAUCCCAGCUUUAAGGUGACAUACGUCAACAUAUGGAUGAAACCCCAGAUUCAGCUGUUAAUGUCAGAGGAUGCGAAACUGAAGGACUUGAACCUUGGAUCGUCCUGCACUAGCUUUUUUGUCAAAAGAAACCGAGGAUUCACUGUGGGAGUCAAUCCAUUUGAUCAGAGAGGAUGUCUUCAGGUACAGCGUGCGUGACUGUGAUGAUCAGACAGACUGACUGUUCACCUGUCUAACCUUAUCACCCACCACAUGACCAAGGGAAACAUGGGCCAGAUCAUCUAAGAUUCCAAGCAUGACAUCUUGGCCGCUACCCACAGGGUCUUUGAAAGCAAAUGACUGCUGGUCCCCUAUUCUGGCAACUGCAGGCAGCGCAGAGGUACCACACAUGAAGAGGUAACGUAACCCUAGUGUGGGCUUCCAUUAGCCUCAUAAUACCACACAUGAAGAGGUAACGUAACCCUAGUGUGGGCUUCCAUUAGCCUCAUAAUACCACACAUGAAGGGGUAACGUAACCCUAGUGUGGGCUUCCAUUAGCCUCAUAAUACCACACAUGAAGGGGUAACGUAACCCUAGUGUGGGCUUCCAUUAACCUCAUAAUACCACACAUGAAGGGGUAACGUAACCCUACUCGGUGGGCUUCCAUUAGCAUCAUAACACCACACAUGAAGGGGUAACGUAACCCUAGUGUGGGCUUCCAUUAGCAUCAUAAUACCACACAUGAAGGGGUAAUGUAACCCUAGUGUGGGCUUCCAUUAGCAUCAUAAUACCACACAUGAAGGGGUAACGUAACCCUAGUAGAGGGCUUCCAUUAGCCU